rnacentral:rRNA from 1 species
GAUGAACGCUGGCGGCGUGCCUAAUACAUGCAAGUAGAACGCUGAAGGAGGAGCUUGCUCUUCUGGAUGAGUUGCGAACGGGUGAGUAACGCGUAGGUAACCUGCCUGGUAGCGGGGGAUAACUAUUGGAAACGAUAGCUAAUACCGCAUGACAACAGUUAUUGCAUGAUAACUGUUUAAAAGGGGCAACUGCUCCACUACCAGAUGGACCUGCGUUGUAUUAGCUAGUUGGUGAGGUAACGGCUCACCAAGGCGACGAUACAUAGCCGACCUGAGAGGGUGAUCGGCCACACUGGGACUGAGACACGGCCCAGACUCCUACGGGAGGCAGCAGUAGGGAAUCUUCGGCAAUGGACGGAAGGCUGACCGAGCAACGCCGCGUGAGUGAAGAAGGGUUUCGGAUCGUAAAGCUCUGUUGUAAGAGAAGAACGAGUGUGAGAGUGGAAAGUUCACACUGUGACGGUAUCUUAUCAGAAAGGGACGGCUAACUACGUG